ACCAUUCCUGUCUUCAUACAUGUACUUAGGGCAAUGAUGUCUAACUCAUUCCAAAUUCAUUCCUACCCACUUGCUCCCUACAUUACCCUCCCUCCCCUUUGCCCUAUCUAAAGUUCCUCAAUUCCUUCCAUGCUUCCCCUACCCCCUAUCACCAUUAUGAGUCAGCAAUUGCAUAUAAAAAAAAAAUCAGCCUUUGGGUUUCUGGGAUUGGCUAACUUCACUUAGCAUUAUUUUCUCCAACUCCAUCCAUUUACCUGCAAAUGCCAUGGUUUUAUUCUCUUUUGAUGAUGAGUAAUUGCUUCUUAUUCUCUUCUUCAUUGUUAAAAUUUUGGAAACAUGUCUUCAUUUACUCAAUUUCUAUUUACCUACUGUACCAUUAGUUUUACCUGUCACCCCAAUUUUUCCAUUAAACAAGUUCUCCUUAUGAUUACGACAUUCUUCAUGUUCCCCUUGCUUGACUCAUUAGUUCUGGUGAGACCAUGCCUUUUGUAUUGAAUCAUUUCUUUGUUUGCUGAACACAUUUUUCAGGCUUUCCUCACUCUCUCUGCUAGUUCUAUUUAGCAGUAUCAUGUGGAUGUGUUUCCUUGGCUGGGCGUUUGUAGUCACUAGGAUUUGAUGCUCAGUCAUAGCCUCCUUUCACAUAUUUUAUUCUUUCUCCAUGUUCAUAGAUAUAACUGAUCACAAGGUUAAAAUGUUGUAUUUUCAUUAGAAUUAUCUAGGGCUUCAAAACCCAAUUCAAAUGCAUUAUUUAAUUAUUGAAUUUUUAGAAUUAAAAAAAUUCUAAAAUGCAAGGAGUUCAAUCUUUAUGAAUGUUUUUAUUGUCCAUGCACUUAAAUAAGCUAACAUCUCAGAAGUCAUCUUUGAAAAGCCCUCCUCUUAAAUGUAUAGAUCCAAUACUCAAUUUAGUCACAUUAUUUUUCUCUAAUAUUUGUCUCUAACAUUUGUCCCAGUGUUGGUCACCUCACAUCUAGUAUGGUAGAUUGCUCAAGUACAAUAUAAUAUUUCCUAUAGCUGAAAUGAUAUAUAAUUUAAGGAGAAAAGCAGCCUUUAUACCCAAGUAAAAAUGGCCAUUCUGCUGAAUUGUUGAAAAUGUGUCAACCAAUUAAUAAAUUCAUGUCAAAUUUUUUGAAAUAUUUUAUUGAUUUCCAUUUCUAUCAUUAGCAUAGAAUCAUUAACAGUACAGACUAAAUAAUUUUCACUUAUUUUAUUUUCAGAAAUUUUAAGGUAUACUAAUAACAUUGUUGAAAAAAUGUGGAAGCCAUUAAAUUUUCUUAUCCCUCUAAAUAAAACUAAAAGUUUUGUUUCCAGUUGUUUUUAAAUGUAGUAUAACUAUUACAUUUUUUAAGAAAGUGAUAGUGUUUUUCUUGUUUCAUGAUAGCAAAUGAAACACCAGUCAGUAUUAUUAUAUUCCUAAAUCACAUAAUCCGUAUAUGUAAAGUAAUAAGCCAUUAUGGAGAAGCAAUUAAUCUGAGCUAUUUGCCAUUCAUGUAUUUGUUUUAAAAAAACAGGCAAAAUAAGUACAAAUUGAUUAUAAUUAUGAUAGAGUUGGAAAGGUGUUUUAUGUCUCUCAUUAUGGGAAAUUUUUAGCAUUAGCUGGGAAAGUAUACAUUUAUAAUAAGUUUCUGAUAGCCUCAAUAAAAGUUCAUUGAAAAAAACACGGCUAUUCUAAAAAAGUAAUUUUACAAAAGUUACAAUACACUUGAAAUGAUCUUUAUUUUUACAUUUAACCGACACAUAUAACAUAAAAGUUUUAUAUAUUAAUGAGGUGUCAUGUGAUGUUUCAGUAUAGAUAUACAAUGUGUAAUACUUAAAUUGGAUUAAAGACAUCUAGAUCCUUAAACAUCUAUCACUUUUUUAAAUUGUGAAUACAUUCACAAGCUUUCUUCCAGCUUUUUGAGACACACAGUUCAUAAUUGUUAUCUGUGGUCACCCCACUGUGCAACAGGACCCCAGAGCUUCUCUGAUCUAACUGUACCCGAUGGAUCAAUCUUUCUCCAUCCUUCCUUUCACCUGUUUACCUUGUCAAAUGUUUUCCCAUACAAAUGAAGAUUUUGGAAAGUAUUUUCUCAAUUUUACUGUAAGAACUUUUAUGUUUUUCUUUUUCUUUCUUUCUCGCUUCUUCCCUCCCUCCCCCUUCCCCUUUCUUUCUUUCUUUACCA
rnacentral:lncRNA from 1 species